GACAGAGGCCCCAAGCGUUAGGCGGAAUCACUGGGCUUAAAGCGUGUGUAGGCGGACGCCUAAGUGUCUUGUGAAAUCCCACGGCUCACCCGUGGAACUGCUGGGCAUACUGGGCGUCUUGGGCCAACUAGGGGCAGCCGGAACAAGCGGUGGAGCGGUGAAAUGCGUAGAUAUCGCUUGGAACGCCGAAGGUGAAAACAGGCUGCUGGGGGUUGCG
rnacentral:rRNA from 1 species